rnacentral:rRNA from 1 species
AAUGAACGCUGGCGGCAGGCCUAACACAUGCAAGUCGAACGAGUGGCGGACGGGUGAGUAAUGUCUGGGAAACUGCCUGAUGGAGGGGGAUAACUACUGGAAACGGUAGCUAAUACCGCAUACCAUCAGAUGUGCCCAGAUGGGCUUAGCUUGUUGGUGGGGGAACGGCUCACCAGGGCGACGAUCCCUAGCUGGUCUGAGAGGAUGACCAGCCAACCUGGAACUGAGACACGGUCCAGGCGCCUACGGCAGGCAGCAGUGGGGAGUAUGGCACAAUGGGCGCAAGCCUGAUGCAGCCAUGCCGCGUGUGUGAAGAAGGCCUUCGGGUUGUAAAGUACUUUCAGCGGGGAGGCGUUACCCGCAGAAGAAGCACCGGCUAACUCCGUGCCAGCCGCCGCGGUAAUAC